ensembl:lncRNA
UGUUGGGGCUGAUCACAAUGGCUCUGAUGGACCCGCCCCUGGAAUUCAUCCUCUGUCUGGGCCCCGCCCACUCUGGCCACGUGACUCACUUCAACCAAUACAGCAGCGCACAAGGGAUGCUGCGCCAAUUCUGGGGCUAAGCCUUCCUUAAAGGUGUUUUUGCACUUUGGGGAACCCUGAGCUGCCAUGUUAAAAGUCCAGCUACCUGGAGAGAUGCCAUGAAGAGGUCACGUUGAGCGGGAGAAGCCCUGAGGCUACACAGGGAGAGAAGGAGAGACAGACGGACAGAGAGAGAAGAGAGGCAGGGAGCCCCCGCGGAGCCCUCUCCAUCACUCCAGUUGUCCCAGCCUUGGGACAGGGGUUGCUGACCCAGAGCCUCCGUUCUGAAUGACCUGAAGCUCACGAUACACAAAUUCCCACUCGACGAGCGUCUUUUCUGCAGAGAGAGGGUACUGAAGGUCAGCGGCUGCAGUAGCACGUGACUCAUCCUUAUAGAGGGAGAUGUGUGCUCAGCCGCUCAGUCAUGUCCGACUCUGGACCCCACAGACUGCAGCCCGCCAGGCUCCUCUGUCUCCAGGAUUUUUCAGACGUGGCACGAGGCACCGAGUGGCCAGUUCCUCUCCGAGGCCACCAUGGUGAGCAGAGUGACGCCCCCGACCAAGGAUGCCCACACCUUAACCCCUAGACUUGUGCAUACGCUGCUUUCCGUGGCAAAAGGGACUUUGCAGCCGUGAUUAAGUUAAGCAUCUGGAGAUGGAGAGAUGGGCCUGAAUUAUCCAGGUGGAUCCAACGUAAUCAGAAGAGUCCUUAUGAGGGGAGGAGGGAAGCAGGAGGGUCAGAGACAGAGAAGAAGAUGUGCUGAGAGAGACAGAGAGAAGAGGGAGAGGAAAGAAGAUUGGAAGAUAGAAGAUUCUAUGAUCUGGCUUUAAGAACCGCAAGAGGGGACUUCCCUGGUGGUCCAGUGGCUAAGCCUCCGUGCUCCCAAUUCUGGGGGCCUGGGUUUGACCCCUGGUCAGGAAACUAGAUCCCACAUGCGGCAACUAAAGAUCCUCCAUGCUGUAACCAAGACCAGCACAAUCAAAUAAAUAAAUAAAUAC